rnacentral:rRNA from 1 species
AUGGCGAAAUGCUGGCUGCUGCUCCACUUGUUGGCGUUUCUCUUGCCAGCGGCGAGCGCUACGUCAUGCCACACCGACGACCUCCACGCGCUGCAGGGCUUCGCCGGGAACCUGGGUGGUGGUGGCGUGCUCCUACGUGCCGUCUGGUCCGGCGCCUCGUGCUGUGGCUGGGAAGGUGUGAGCUGCGACGGCACAAGUGGACGCGUCACGGCGCUUCGGCUCCCUGGGCACGGACUUGCGGGGCCUAUCUCUGGAGCAUCCUUGGCGGGCCUCACGCAGCUGGUGGAGCUCAACCUUGCCAACAACAAACUGAUCGGAACCAUCUCAUCAUGGAUUGGUGAGCUUGAUCACCUUCGCUACUUGGAUCUCUCUAAUAAUUUAUUGGUUGACGAGGUACCCAAGAGAUUGAUACAGCUCAAGGGCCUUGCCUCCACUGGUCGUUCACUGGGUAACAGAAGAACACUCCAACAACAACAACCAAAUAUCAUAUCCGGGACAAACAACAAAGUCCGAUCUGGUAGAACCAAUGUUGUAUCCGGAAACGACAACACUGUCAUAUCCGGGAACAACAACACGGUGGCUGGGAGCAACAAUACCAUCACAACCGGGAGCGACAAUACCGUAACCGGUAGCAACCAUGUCGUAUCUGGGAGCAAACAUAUCGUAACUGACAACAACAAUGUUGUUUCCGGGAUUGACAAUAAUGUAUCCGGGAGCUUCCACACCGUAUCCGGGAGUCACAAUACCGUAUCCGGGAGCAACAAUACCGUAUCUGGGAGCAACCAUGUCGUGUCUGGGAGCAAUAAAGUCGUGACAGGAGGUUAA